rnacentral:pre_miRNA from 1 species
AGUGGAAUUGUUGGGUCAUAUUGUGACUCUGUCUUUAACUUUUUGAGGAACUACCAAAAUGUUUUCCAAAGUGGCCAUGCACUUUACAUUCCCACCAACAAU